CCCCUCUCAGGGUCUCACCUGGAGAGUUUCCAGUAUUCUACCAGUCACAGCUACAGGAGGGAGAGUCAAGCAGAGGCAUUCCCAUUCCAUUCCUAGCUUAGGCAGUGGCUAGCGAGUGGAAGGCAAUCUGCUACAAGU